rnacentral:misc_RNA from 1 species
AAGUCGUAACAAGGUUUCCGUAGGUGAACCUGCGGAAGGAUCAUUAACAAUUCUUCAUCAUUAAUCUCUGUGAACCGUUCAGUUGCAGCUGUGCACGUCCGUUGGCUUUGCUUUGGCGGUCACGGAUGUGCGGGCUGCAACAAACAUUAACGUCUAUUCGUCUGCUUAAAUAAAACAGCGUUGCUGCUGCUUGCUGCUGUGCCUUUCCGUGCGGCCAGCAGGCAUCACAAUGUAUUUAAAUUUAAACAACUUUUAACAAUGGAUCUCUUGGCUCUU